rnacentral:rRNA from 1 species
UACGUAGGGUGCAAGCGUUGUCCGGAAUUAUUGGGCGUAAAGAGCUCGUAGGCGGUCUGUCGCGUCUGCUGUGAAAACUCGGGGCUUAACCCCGGGCCUGCAGUGGGUACGGGCAGACUAGAGUGCGGUAGGGGAGAGUGGAAUUCCUGGUGUAGCGGUGAAAUGCGCAGAUAUCAGGAGGAACACCGGUGGCGAAGGCGGGUCUCUGGACAGUUCCUGACGCUGAGGCACGAAGGUCAGGGGAGCAAACGGG